UACGUAGGGCGCAAGCGUUGUCCGGAAUUAUUGGGCGUAAAGAGCUCGUAGGCGGCUUGUCACGUCGGGUGUGAAAGCCCGGGGCUUAACCCCGGGUCUGCAUUCGAUACGGGCUAGCUAGAGUGUGGUAGGGGAGAUCGGAAUUCCUGGUGUAGCGGUGAAAUGCGCAGAUAUCAGGAGGAACACCGGUGGCGAAGGCGGAUCUCUGGGCAUUAACUGACGCUGAGGAGCGAAAGCAUGGGGAGCGAACAGG
rnacentral:rRNA from 1 species